CCUACGGGUGGCAGCAGUGAGGAAUAUUGGUCAAUGGGCGCAAGCCUGAACCAGCCAAGUCGCGUGAGGGAUGAUGGUCCUAUGGAUUGUAAACCUCUUUUGUCGGGGAGCAAGGCCCGCCACGUGUGGCGGGAAGGAGAGUACCCGAAGAAAAAGCAUCGGCUAACUCCGUGCCAGCAGCCGCGGUAAUACGGAGGAUGCGAGCGUUAUCCGGAUUUAUUGGGUUUAAAGGGUGCGUAGGCGGAAGGUUAAGUCAGUGGUCAAAUGUCGGUGCUCAACACCGGCCUGCCGUUGAAACUGGUCUUCUUGAGUGAGCGAGAAGUAUGCGGAAUGCGUGGUGUAGCGGUGAAAUGCAUAGAUAUCACGCAGAACCCCGAUUGCGAAGGCAGCCUGCCGGGGUGCGACUGACGCUGAGGCUCGAAGGUGCGGGUAUCAAACAGGAUUAGAUACCCUAGUAGUC
rnacentral:rRNA from 1 species